rnacentral:lncRNA from 1 species
CGACCGGACUACUCUUCUCCUGCUUCCUACCUAGCACGGAUGUGGUCGGAGGAACAGGAGCUGGUCGCCGUGGAAAGUCAAGUUUUAUCCACGGCCGCUUCAACGAGGAAGCGGCGUUCACGCCGCCGUCGCGCAUCGCAACGGCCUGUCUUGCCCUCCACUGAGCAACAUGAGGAUGCUGUGGAGGGCAUGGAUUUUGACCUCGAGGAGCGGCAGCGCGCCGCAUGCUCGCAACUAGAGGAAGAGCUCCGGUGGGAGCCGUGGCUCGCUCCUAACUAUGACGAGGAUUUCCAGGGAACUCGCCUGGCUUUCGGGGGUCCCCUGAGCUUCCAGGAACUCUCACCUACCGCUCCGUCAUCACCCAGUUCCCCAGCCUCUGCGACACCGCCUGGCGCGCAUGAGGCGCCGCUGUCUGGUUCGUCGGAAACGUCAAUCAAGAAGAAACGACGUGCGCGUCGCCGUCGCGCUGCGCAACGACCGGAGGUGAGUGAAUGCAGUCUCUCAUCAUCAGCCCCCGUUGAAACAUUAGAAGAUGAACUAGAUUCAGAAUUACAGAUUCAAGAGUCAAGGUUAAAAGAGGCUCAUAGCAUGAAGAUGGCUGACUCUAGUACUGACAAUGGUGUGGUCAGUUCGUCUGGCUUCUAUGAACAAGGAGUAAGACCCACACAGACUGUGAAUCCUAGCACUGGUGAGUUUCAGCCUGUGUUCUUGUCACCUCCACCCGAACAGGAGUUUGACUGUCCAGCCCCUAAGCCGACUGGGGAAUCCCCUGUUUCGUGUGUUUCUGUUAACGAAAAUAAAGAGACUGUUUCAGAAUCAGCCAGUGCUAACUUUAGGCUGAGUAAUGCACCGCUAACCGAGCCACAGCCAAGAGAUUUUGUUUCAAAGAUAAUCAUGGACAAACCUAGUUUGAAAGAGACUUUCACAGACCUUAAUGUUAAUUGUGUGGGGAGUGGGGUGGAAGUGUUUUCUUCUGUGUCAUGUAAUGUGCCUGGGGUUCCAUCACAGACUGAGUUAUCCGUGGCUAACGCCUCCCUUCCUGAGUCUGCUCUGCUCACCAAUGAGCUACUCGAAGAAGGCCCCUGUGCUUUCAUAGCAAGUAAGGCUAUUUCAGAGGAGGCAGGUCAUGAAAUAAAGUAUGAAAGGACUGUGUGUGAGAUGAUGUGUGAUCAUGUUUUGCCUGCUGUUCCUAUAUUCAAUGAACUGCAGACUGAAAAUGCUGAUCAUGAACUCACGUUAAUCCGUCAAGACGAAAACAUAAAUGCAGAUCACGGUAACCUGGACUGUGGAACGUCACAACAUGAAUUCUGUCUUCCUGAAGGUAAUAAACAGGGUGAUUUUGAACUGUUUUGCUCCAGCACCGUUACCUCCAAUCAGGAGAUGGAGGCUGAGAUCAAGGUUAAUGUGACACCACUUUCUCCUGUCUCUGUGAACUCAUUACUAGAGAAGAUUUUGACCUCGAACAAUGGCGCUGCUGCUCACUCACAGCCUGAAGCGUCACCUGCUUCAGUUAAUGGUUCAAGUACUGUUUUACCUGUACCUGUC